GAAAGAGGAAAGGGAGAUUAGCAGAAGAGAGUUACAGAGAGAGGAAGGAGUAUCUGUAAGUUGCAAGUUAGACUUAAACAGCACAGCCUCAGCAAGUGAACCGCCUGCUGGCACAUCACAGGUCUCAGAGCCUCACCUGAUUGAUCUGAUCUUGGGAGAAGACCACAGUCAUGGAACAAGCAGAGAAUAAAGUAUCGGCCACUUCCCCACAAAAGCAGACGGUCAAAAACAGGUCCAAGUCCACAGAUGAGGUGCAGCAAGCCAAAAAGGCCUUUCACACACCACAGAAGUCUCUCCCGGCGAAGCCAGAAACGGAGAAGCUGGAGGAGACCGCAGAGCUUAGCGCUUCAUCAGAGGAGCUGAAAUGAUGGCAGUACUCACACGGGUGUGACUGGGAUAUAGAUAGAUGAGAAAAAUAUGUCUUGUUUAUACCAUUGUAACUAACUGCAAUGACAUUCAUAUGUAUUAUUCAUCAGUCAGUCUAAAGAAUAGAGCACAUUCAAUAUUCAGCUGCGCAACAGUGGAUAGAAGCUUUCAGGGCCUGUUCUUUCCAGACGCAGAGCCUAGUCCUAGUCGAAAAAGUGUUUUUCUUUCUAGUAGACAGUCACUAUCCCCCUUUUUACACAUGAUUUAUUUCAUUACAUGCAUAGAUUUAGUUAUAUAUUAAUCUGGCCUGAUAUUUAUGUAUUUAUUAAGUAAUUAAUUUAACAAAAAAGUUAAAUGGACAAGGUCCCCACUAGAUGGAUACUUUCUCAAUUUGAGUACAUGUAUGUAAGCAACAUAAAACAUGAAAAGGUACUGCUGGAUGUUUCCAUUAAGUAUGUGUCUGUAGUGCUAAUGAAUUGCGUACUGUAUCUGUGUUUGUAAAGAACUGUAAAACAAUACUUGAAAACAUUUGUUGGAUUUUUGUGUUACCCUGAGCAAACACAUACGCAGGCCACACAAACUCAUGAUUAGUUUGACAUGUUCAGUGGAGUGUCUGAUUAAUAAAGAGUUGAAAACACAUUUCAGACUUUUAA